rnacentral:rRNA from 1 species
UACGUAGGGUGCAAGCGUUAUCCGGAAUUAUUGGGCGUAAAGAGCUCGUAGGCGGUUUGUCGCGUCUGCUGUGAAAACUGGGGGCUCAACUCCCAGCCUGCAGUGGGUACGGGCAGACUAGAGUGCGGUAGGGGAGAUUGGAAUUCCUGGUGUAGCGGUGGAAUGCGCAGAUAUCAGGAGGAACACCGGUGGCGAAGACGGGUCUCUGGGCCGAUACUGACGCUGAGGAGCGAAAGCGUGGGGAGCGAACAGG